GUGCGCGGGCCUCGGCCAGGCCUGAGAUGCCGGGAGGGUUUGACCCUGGGGCUGCAUGGACAGCUUAGCGCUCGGCCGCUGGCGACAGCGGAGGGCGGAGGAUCUGCAGGUUCCGGGGGACGUGACAUGUUUUGAGCGCCUGCUGUGUCUCAAGCCCUGUCCUAGGCACUGGAGAUGAGAUGAAGAAACGAUGAGUAGAGGCCUUGCUUACGUUUAUCCUGCAACUCAUGAUGAGGCUUACUCUGCAACUCCAGUGCUCGGCUUUUUACACAACAGAGUCUCUGUUGCCCAGGCUGGAGUACAGUCGCACGAUCUUGGCUCACUGCAACCUCUGCCUCUCAGGUUCGAGUGAUUCUUCUGCCUCAGCCUCCCAAGUUGCUGGGAUUACAGAAACGGGUAUGCAGGAGAUUAGAAGCCAGUGGGCAUGAGCGUGGCUGCCACCAGGUGAAUGCCUGUGCCCUGGCGUCCUGGGGCCCAGAGGACCGGGAGCUUCCAUCAAGAGGCUGCCUCCCAGCACCAAGGCCAGAGAGUGGCCAGGGGAGGCUAAGUACAGGGAUUUCUCAGAAUGGUGGAAGGAGCUCAGCCCAGCCUUGCCCAAGAUGUAUUGCAGGGGAAUCUAUGGAGUUUUGCUCUCGUUGCCCACGCUGGAGUGCAAUGGCAUGAUCUCAGCUCACUGCAACCUCCGCUUCCCAGGUUCAAGCGAUUCUCCUGCCUCAGCCACCCAAGUAGUUGGGAUUACAGGUGUGUGCCACCAUGCCUGGCGACUUUUGUAUUUUCAGUAGAGAUGGGGUUUCACCUUGUUGAUCAGGCUGGUCUCAAACUCCUGACCUCAAGUGAUCCACCCACCUCGGCCUCCCAAAGUGCUGGGAUUACAGGCGAGAGCCACCGUGCCCGGCCAUGACCUUCUUUAGUUCUUUGACCAUAUUUAAAAUGGCUGAGGUGAAGUCUCUGGGACAUUUUAGCCAUACCAAGAAUCAUUAGAAGAUGCAAGCUGGAAAAAAGAAGGUCCCAGUUUUGGUUUUGAACCCUUCAUGUUGCAGCAAAUGUGAAUCUCCUACAGAUGGGUUUGGGGACUUACCUGUUCAAAUAGCAGCCCGGUGUCCUCUGUGGGUGGGGGGAGGUUUGUCUGUCCUUUCAUUCUAGUAAAUCCACCAUCCUCUGCACGAGAGCCAGGAGAAUCCACAUCACUUCAAAAGAGCCCCCAAAUCCUUACUACGUACUACAGCCUCCUUUCGAAUGUUCCUGGUUGAGAGGGAGAUCAAUUGCAUUAUUUACAAGUCAAAAAAUUUUGUAUCAAACUUCCUAUGAGCUUGGGCACUCAUGGCCUAUGGAGGCCCACCCAGACGCAGCCCCGCCAUCAUGCUUUUUCGUUGUUUUGUGGAUGUACCCAGGGCUAUUUACACACUCUUUCAUUAAAAGGCUUAUUUUUAUAUUUAAAAUGUUCUAAUCUUGGAGUGAAUUUUACUAAAUGCUAGUGUCCAAUCUGUUCCCCAACUGAAGUUAUCAGAGACAGAAUCCCUUUUAUAUUCAAGUGGAAAUUACUCAUUUUCUCUUGGGUUUUCAAUGUAUCGUCUGACUGUGAGGCUGGCAUUAUUUUCUCUGGGUUUGAAAGCUUCCUGAGAUGUCCUGUUUGUAAGCUCCUGUCCGCAUCACGUUAUCUGCAGGGAAUGUGCUCCCUCCAGGGAGUGUCCUCGGCACUGAUGUGGGAAGAGCCCCCUCUAUAAGUCAUCAUGGCAUUCGGUCAUGGGAGAGUUCCAUACGGGAAAGAUGGAGCAGAGGAAGACAAGGUGUUGAAACCAGUACAGCACCACCUGGGAUAUGGAUGAUCCAGAAUUACAGGACACGUCUUCAUUAAGCCUGGAUGGUUCCACUUAAGACGCGGUUUCACUGGCAUCCAUAGUAAUUGACAGAUGUACUCGGGAUCCCUUGUCCAAAAGUCCUGGCUUUCGAGGAGCCCUCUUGGCUGCUGUGCUACCCGCAAACUGCCCCGAGUCCCAGCCAUUCGCCCCCUUGAGUCUCACGCCCAACAGCAAGCUCCUGACACCGGUGGAAAUAUUCCUGUGGGGGUCUCACAUGCCUGGGGCCUUGUUCUGGAAAACACCAUCACAGAGGUAGAGGCAAGAACCAGGGGGUCUGACUCUGUGGUCCCAAAAACCUUAAUGAAUAACAGUUUUGUUUUAGCGGCUUAAAAAACAUCCUGAAGUAUUUUUUAUAUUCUUUCAAGCUC
rnacentral:lncRNA from 10 species